UUGGUGUGGGGGCAGUUUUUAUGUUCUAUAAUACAAAGCAUACUAAAUGGAAUAAAUGGAAAUUUAGAGUCACAGUUAAACAUUCGACUUAUGUCUUCUCUUUUAAGCAUUUUAAACUACCUCUAUUAUAUUGAUUUUUAGAAGAAUUGUUUUCUAAAGAAAACUGCUUCCUGAUGUUGGCGCAGGUGGGCUCUCUGUGAUAUCUGCGGCCAUGUGCUGUGUUUAGUCAUUCCUCCCAAUGCCAGUGAUCCCUUAAAUCUGGGUGUUGUCCAUCAUCAUCCCUGCCCGUCUCCGUGCAUCCACAACUGCCACAUCCUGAGAGCUCAGUCCAUCAUAAAUGCAAUUAUAGCCUUUUACCUCCUCCUCACCAGAUACUCUCUACAGGGCAAGUUCAUCAAACUGUGUGCUUAGAAGCUCUGGAGCAGAACUCUCACCCACCAGAAGAUUGCCUCAAGAGAUAAAAGAUGAUUUACAACCCAAAGUAUGCCCACUAGAGGUUUUGGCCAUUUUUACAAUGUAUUCCUGCCCAUGAAGAUGCCAACUUGACUGCCCAAUACAUAAAGCACCAAAGCAAGUAUGCGGACCCCCCCACACCUCCUCACUUCUGCUCCUGUGUAGACCCCCAUCUUUAAAAGCACUUACUUUCUCCUGCAAAAGCAAAUCAGACCCUUACAGCAGGAAGGCUUUUCUUCUUCUCCUAAACUAGCUUUGGAAUAAAAAGUUAUUUUCUUUA
rnacentral:lncRNA from 1 species